rnacentral:rRNA from 1 species
UACAGAGGUCUCAAGCGUUGUUCGGAUUCAUUGGGCGUAAAGGGGGUGUAGGUGGCGCGCUAAGUCGGGUGUGAAAUUUCGGAGCUUAGCUCCGAAACUGCAUUCGAUACUGGCGUGCUUGAGGACUGGAGAGGAGACUGGAAUUCAUGGUGUAGCAGUGAAAUGCGUAGAGAUCAUGAGGAAGACCAGUGGCGAAGGCGGGUCUCUGGACAGUUCCUGACACUGAGACACGAAGGCCAGGGGAGCAAACGGG